GCAGGUAUGACAGACUGGCAUUGUAGCAGACAGUGGGGCAGGGUUGACUGACUGGCAUUGUAGCAGACAGUGGGGCAGGUCUGACUGGCAUUGUAGCAGACAGUGGGGCAGGUCUGACUGACUGGCAUUGUAGCAGACAGUGGGGGAGGUCUGACUGACUAGAAUUGUAGCAGACAGUGGGGCAGGUCUGACAGACUGGCAUUGUUGCAGACAGUGGGGCAGGUCUGACUGACUGGCAUUGUUGCAGACAGUGGGGCAGGUCUGGCUGACUGGCAUUGUAGCAGACAGUGGGGCAGGUCUGACUGACUGGCAUUGUUGCAGACAGUUGUGCAAUUCUGACUGGCAUUGUAGACAGUGGGCUGGUCUGACUGGCAUUGUUGCAAACAGUGGAGUAGAUCUGACUGGCAUUGUUGCUGACAGGCACCUGAGAGUGGCAUUGUUAUAGACAGUGGGGCAGGCCUGACUGACUGGCAUUGUUGCAGACAGUGGGGCAGGAUUGACUGAUUGGCAUUGUCUCCUCCAGGUAGUGGGACAGCAGCUCUGUGGUGCCGUGAGGGUGCGGAUGCCACUGUGCCAGGGGGAUGGGCACCUCAUUCUGGAGUGAUCCCUGGCACGGGGUGCCCUUCCAGUGCUCAGGGUCUGGGAGCAGUCCAGGCAGGGUGGGUGCGGAAUUUAGGAGGAUUAGCUCCAGCAGGGCUCCUGCCUGUUCGUGAGGUUAGUAAAAGGAGCGGGGCGGGGGGUGGGGAGGUGUCCCUGACUCUGUGCAGGUAUUUAAUUAGCCUCAGCAGAACACUACCGACCCUUUUAGGGGCUGAUAAGUCACAUAAUAGCUCCGCUUGGCCGAUUAACUCGGUGCCCGGUGACUCCUGCAGAGCUCUCGCCCCUUUCUCUGGAGCUGCGUUAUCAGCUCUUCCUCAGUAGGAUUAAGGCAGAUACCAUCAUGCAAUUAAGCAGAGAUGCAAAAAAGAGGGUGGGUGACUGUGGGGUCCUCACAGCGCUGACCUCUCCCCUUGGACGCUGAGCGGGAGAGAAAGGCCCCCCUCCCUCAGGAGUGGAGCUGGGGGGCGGCGAGCGAGGUCUGCACUGUGCACCCAGGGUGGCUCUGUCCUGCAGGGAGUCGGUGCCUGGGAGUGGGUAAUGCACGGUGGGCAGGGCCACGGCCUCACCCGCCCGGCUGCUCCUGGCACAGCGGAGUGCUCCAGCCUCCCUCUCUGGGGUGCCCUGCUCUGUGUCCCCACAUCCUGCUUCUGAGCCUCAGAACCCCCAACAGGAGACCCACCCGGGGCUUCAUUCUCCAUGAAGCGUUACCCUCUGGCUUCCCAGGCAGGAUAGCUGGCGAGUCGGGGCUCAGAGUGGCAGUCCCUAGAGCCCGCCCCGGGGAUACUGAGUCAGGUUCUGAGACAUGGAGGAGCUCACUCUCAGCUCUCAGCCCUCAGCCCUCAGCCCCCAGCCCAGCCAUUUGGUGUGUAAGAUCACGGCAUCGCUUAAGGCUCAGCCAGAAUGCUGAACUGCAGGGCAGGAGAGCCAGGGGGUCGUGGGAGGCCGCCUCAGACCACACCCAGCCCCAGCUGGAGAGCGCUGCCUCGGGGUAUGUGCACGGUGCUGGGGGGCAGCGGACUUCCCAACUUGGUCUCAAGAGUGGCCCCCACUUCCCGGUGCUCCUUUGGCUGUGUCCGCCUUUACGGAGCG